rnacentral:rRNA from 1 species
AGGGUUUGAUCCUGGCUCAGAACGAACGCUGGCAGCGUGGAUUAGGCAUGCAAGUCGAGCGAGAACGUUUCCUUCGGGAAAUUAGUAAAGCGGCGAACGGGUGAGUAAUAUAUAGAUAACCUACCCCCGGGACGGAGAUAAGGGCCGAAAGCCUGGUAAUUUCCGAUGGUACCCGAUGAACACAAGUACACUGGGUUAAAGUUUGCGUGAGCUUUCGCCCGGGGAGGGGUCUAUAUCCCAUUAGCUUGAUGGUGAGGUAACGGCUCACCAUGGCGGUGAUGGGUAGCCGGCCUGAGAGGGUGGCCGGUCACACUGGGACUGAGACACUGCCCAGACUCCUACGGGAGGCUGCAGUCGAGAAUCUUCCGCAAUGCGCGAAAGCGUGACGGAGCGACGCUGCGUGGAUGAUGAAGGCCUUCGGGUUGUAAAAUCCUGUCACGAGUUAGGAAUAAGCCAUUGUAAAUAGCAAUGGUGAUGACAAAAGCUCGAGAGGAAGCCACGGCUAACUCCGUGCAGCAGCCGCGGUAAUACGGAGGUGGCAAGCGUUGUUCGGAAUCAUUGGGCUUAAAGAGCACGUAGGCGGCUCUGUGUGUGGAUAGUGGAAGCCCCCGGCCUAACCGGGGAAUUGCUGUCCAAACUGCAGGGCUUGAGUGUCGGAGGGGUGAGAAGAAUUCCUGGUGGAGCGGUGGAAUGCGUAGAUAUCAGGAGGAAUGCCGGUGGCGAAAGCGUCUCACUGGCCGAUCACUGACGCUGAGGUGCGAAAGCUAGAGGAGCGAACGGGAUUAGAUACCCCGGUAGUCCUAGCUGUAAACGCUGAGUACUUAGUAGAGGAAAUUCCUAUGUUUUCUCUGCUGUAGCAAAAGUGUUAAGUACUCCGCUUGGGGACUAUGGUCGCAAGGCUGAAACUCAAAGGAAUUGACGGGGGCUCACACAAGCGGUGGAGGAUGUUGCUUAAUUCGAAACAACGCGAAGAACCUUACCUGGGUUUGACAUGCAUGUAGUACGACCCCGAAACGGGAAGGAUCCAGAAUUAUCUGGAAGCAUGCACAGGUGUUGCAUGGCUGUCGUCAGCUCGUGCCGUGAGGUGUUGGGUUAAGUCCCGUAACGAGCGAAACCCUUAUCCUUAGUUGCCAGCGGUUCGGCCGGGGACUCUAGGGAGACUGCCCUCGUCAAGGGGGAGGAAGGCGGGGAUGACGUCAAGUCAGCAUGGCCCUUACGCCCAGGGCUGCAAACGUCCUACAAUGGCCGGUACAGAGGGGAGCGAAACCGCGAGGUCCAGCAAAUCUCAGAAAACCGGUCCCAGUUCGGAUUGUGGGCUGAAAUUCGCCCACAUGAAGUUGGAAUCGCUAGUAACCGCGGAUCAGCUACGCCGCGGUGAAUAUGUUCCUGAGCCUUGUACACACCGCCCGUCAAGCCACGAAAGCUGGUAAUACCCGAAGUCGGUCACCCAACCUUUAUUGGAGGGAGCCGCCGAAGGUAGGAUCAGUGAUUGGGACUAAGUCGUAACAAGGUA